CUGCCCCCCUCCAUUUAUUAUUUUUAAUAGGGGCAUAGUUCAACGGUAGAAUAGAGGUCUCCAAAACCUUUGGUGUGGGUUCGAUUCCUACUGCCCCUGCCAUGGCGGCUGUGGUGAAGUGGUUAACACAUCGGAUUGUGGUUCCGACAUUCGAGGGUUCGAUCCCCUUCAGCCGCCCUUAUUAUUAAUGGGCUAUAGCCAAGCGGUAAGGCAACGGACUUUGACUCCGUCACUCGUUGGUUCGAAUCCAGCUAGCCCAGUUAUUGGCGGCAUAGCCAAGUGGUAAGGCAGAGGUCUGCAAAACCUUUAUCACCGGUUCAAAUCCGGUUGCCGCCUCCAGGUUUAUGCGGGAGUAGUUCAACUUUUAGAACACGUUCCUUCCCGGAACGAGGUAUAGGUGUAAAUCCUAUCUUCCGCUCCAUAAUUUAAUAUUUGCGGGAGUAGUUCAACUUUUAGAACACGUUCCUUCCCGGAACGAGGUAUAGGUGCAAAUCCUAUCUUCCGCUCCAUAAUUUAAUAAUAAUGCGGGAGUAUUUCAACUCUUAGAAUACAUUCCUUCCUGGAAUGAGGUAUAGGUGUAAAUCCUAUCUUCCGCUCCAUAAUUUAAUAUUUGCGGGAGUAGUUCAACUUUUAGAACACGUUCCUUCCCGGAACGAGGUAUAGGUGUAAAUCCUAUCUUCCGCUCCAUAAUUGCUUCCAAAGGGAAGUUUUUUGUUUACCAUUAAGCCGGUGUGGCGGAAUUGGCAGACGCGCGGGACUCAAAAUCCCGUUCCACUUGUGGAGUGUCGGUUCGACCCCGACCACCGGUAUAAUUAACUGUUAUUUACAUAACAUAACGUAUUAGAAACCUUGUAAAACAAGGUUUCUUUUGGUUCUCCACCAAAUGUGGUGGGUAUAUAAUUUAAAGAACUAUUUUUAAAAUACAACUUUUAGAGUUUUUAUUAUUAGGCGGCCAGUCCAUUAUUGGGCUUGGUUGUCUUCUUUUUUCUCCUUUGUACAAGCUGAAAAUCAUCAUUAUACGUGCUUUAAAGUUGUUGAAAUUUCUGUAACCAAAAGAAAUUCNUAAGGCUGAGCUGUGAUGGGGAGAAGACAUUGUGUCUUCGAGUCGUUGAUUUCACACUGCCGAGAAAAGCCUCUAGAUAGAAAAUAGGUGCCCGUACCGCAAACCGACACAGGUAGUCAAGAUGAGAAUUCUAAGGUGAGCGAGCGAACUCUCGUUAAGGAACUCGGCAAAAUGACCCCGUAACUUCGGGAGAAGGGGUGCUCUUUAGGGUUAACGCCCAGAAGAGCCGCAGUGAAUAGGCCCAAGCGACUGUUUAUCAAAAACACAGGUCUCUGCUAAACCGUAAGGUGAUGUAUAGGGGCUGACGCCUGCCCGGUGCUGGAAGGUUAAGAGGAGUGGUUAGCUUCUGCGAAGCUACGAAUCGAAGCCCCAGUAAACGGCGGCCGUAACUAUAACGGUCCUAAGGUAGCGAAAUUCCUUGUCGGGUAAGUUCCGACCCGCACGAAAGGCGUAACGAUUUGGGCACUGUCUCAACGAGAGACUCGGUGAAAUCAUAGUACCUGUGAAGAUGCAGGUUACCCGCGACAGGACGGAAAGACCCCGUGGAGCUUUACUGUAGCCUGAUAUUGAAAUUCGGCACAGCUUGUACAGGAUAGGUAGGAGCCUUUGAAACGUGAGCGCUAGCUUACGUGGAGGCGCUGGUGGGAUACUACCCUAGCUGUGUUGGCUUUCUAACCCGCACCACUUAUCGUGGUGGGAGACAGUGUCAGGCGGGCAGUUUGACUGGGGCGGUCGCCUCCUAAAAGGUAACGGAGGCGCUCAAAGGUUCCCUCAGAAUGGUUGGAAAUCAUUCAUAGAGUGUAAAGGCAUAAGGGAGCUUGACUGCGAGACCUACAAGUCGAGCAGGGUCGAAAGACGGACUUAGUGAUCCGGUGGUUCCGCAUGGAAGGGCCAUCGCUCAACGGAUAAAAGCUACCCCGGGGAUAACAGGCUUAUCUCCCCCAAGAGUUCACAUCGACGGGGAGGUUUGGCACCUCGAUGUCGGCUCAUCGCAUCCUGGGGCUGUAGUCGGUCCCAAGGGUUGGGCUGUUCGCCCAUUAAAGCGGUACGCGAGCUGGGUUCAGAACGUCGUGAGACAGUUCGGUCCCUAUCCGUCGUGGGCGUAGGAAAUUUGAGAGGAGCUGUCCUUAGUACGAGAGGACCGGGAUGGACAUACCUCUGGUGUACCAGUUGUCGUGCCAACGGCAUAGCUGGGUAGCUAUGUGUGGACGGGAUAAGUGCUGAAAGCAUCUAAGCAUGAAGCCCCCCUCAAGAUGAGAUUUCCCAACUUCGGUUAUAAGAUCCCUCAAAGAUGAUGAGGUUAAUAGGUUCGAGGUGGAAGCAUGGUGACAUGUGGAGCUGACGAAUACUAAUCGAUCGAAGACUUAAUCAA
rnacentral:rRNA from 1 species